rnacentral:lncRNA from 1 species
UGGGCAUGAUAUGGUGCCUUGUUUAAAUAGUUUUUGGCUUCAAAUUUUUUCAGGAUAAUUUUUUAAGUCAAGAAGAGUAUGCCAUUCUGGAUAUAAAUGUUCUCUGCAUAGAAGAUCUUGGGGAUCCUCUUGAAUUGGUAUUCUGGUUGGAAGAUUGGUAGUCACCCAAAUUCAUCCAUUAGUCCAGUAUUUUUGUUGUUGCAAUUUUCUGACUAUCCAAUAAACUUCUAAAUA